AUUGAACGCUGGCGGCAUGCCUUACACAUGCCAGUCGAACGGUAACGGGCCUUCGGGUGCCGACGAGUGGCGCACGGGUGAGUAAUACAUCGGAACGUGCCCGAUCGUGGGGGAUAACGAGGCGAAAGCUUUGCUAAUACCGCAUACGAUCUACGGAUGAAAGCGGGGGACCGCAAGGCCUUGCGCGGACUGGGCGGCCGAUGGCAGAUUAGGUAGUUGGUGGGAUAAAAGCUUACCAAGCCGACGAUCUGUAGCUGGUCUGAGAGGAUGAGCAGCCACACUGGGACUGAGACACGGCCCAGACUCCUACGGGAGGCAGCAGUGGGGAAUUUUGGACAAUGGGCGCAAGCCUGAUCCAGCAAUGCCGCGUGCAGGAUGAAGGCCUUCGGGUUGUAAACUGAUUUUGUACGGAACGAAAAGCCUUCUUUUAAUACAGGAGGGUCAUGACGGUACCGUAAGAAUAAGCACCGGCUAACUACGUG
rnacentral:rRNA from 1 species